GCUGAACUUAAGCAUAUCAAUAAGCGGAGGAAAAGAAACCAACAGGGAUUGCCCUAGUAACGGCGAGUGAAGCGGCAACAGCUCAAAUUUGAAAUCUGGCGCAAGCCCGAGUUGUAAUUUGUAGAGGAUGCUUCUAGGUAGCGACCGGUCUAAGUUCCUUGGAACAGGACGUCAUAGAGGGUGAGAAUCCCGUAUGUGACUGGCCCGCACCUUCUACGUAGCUCCUUCGACGAGUCGAGUUGUUUGGGAAUGCAGCUCUAAAUGGGAGGUAAAUUUCUUCUAAAGCUAAAUACCGGCCAGAGACCGAUAGCGCACAAGUAGAGUGAUCGAAAGAUGAAAAGCACUUUGGAAAGAGAGUUAAAAAGCACGUGAAAUUGUUGAAAGGGAAGCGCUCACAACCAGACUUCUGGGCGGUGUUCCGCCGGUCUUCUGACCGGUCUACUCACCGUCCCGAGGCCAACAUCAUCUGGGACCGCCGGAUAAGACCUCAGGAAUGUAGCUCCCCUCGGGGAGUGUUAUAGCCUGUGGUGAUGCGGCGCGUCUCGGGUGAGGUCCGCGCUUCGGCAAGGAUGUUGGCGUAAUGGUUGUCAGCGGCCCGUCUUGAAACACGGACCAAGGAGUCUAACAUCUAUGCGAGUGUUCGGGUGUCAAACCCCUACGCGUAAUGAAAGUGAACGGAGGUGGGAAGGGUAACCUGCACCAUCGACCGAUCCUGAUGUCCUCGGAUGGAUUUGAGUAAGAGCAUAGCUGUUGGGACCCGAAAGAUGGUGAACUAUGCCUGAAUAGGGUGAAGCCAGAGGAAACUCUGGUGGAGGCUCGCAGCGGUUCUGACGUGCAAAUCGAUCGUCAAAUUUGGGUAUAGGGGCGAAAGACUAAUCGAACCAUCUAGUAGCUGGUUCCUGC
rnacentral:rRNA from 1 species